rnacentral:lncRNA from 1 species
GCUCCCCGCUCUGCGGGCUGAGCGGUGUGCCGGCAGCCCCAGGAGCGACUGGGGACAGGGACACGGGCAUGGACACGGACAUGGGCACGGGCACGGGCACGGACACGGGCACAGACAGGGACACGGGCACGGACACGGGCACUGACACGGACAUGGACACGGGCACGGGCACGGGCACGGGCAUGGACACAGACACGGACGCGGACACAGACACGGGCACGGACAUGGACACGGACAUGGACACGGACACGGACAUGGGCACGGGCAUGGACACGGGCACUGACACGGACACGGGCACGGGCAUGGACACGGGCACAGACACAGACACAGAGACGGACACGGACAUGGGCACGGACACGGACGUGGACACAGACACGGGCACAGACACGGACACGGACAUGGACACGGACACGGACAGGGACAUGGGCACGGGCACGGGCACAGACAUGGGCACAGACACGGGCACGGGCACGGACAGGGACACGGACAUGGACACGGACACAGGCACGGGCAUGGGCACGGACACGGGCACGGACACGGACACGGACACGGGCAUGGACACGGGCACGGAUAAGGGCAUGGNNNNNNNNNNGGACACGGACACGGGCAUGGACACGGGCACGGAUAAGGGCAUGGGCAUGGGCACAGGCAUGGACAGGGACAGGGACAUGGACACAGGCAUGGACAUGGACACGGGCACGGGCACGGGCAUGGACAUGGGCAUGGGCACGGACACGGGCAUGGACACGGACACAGACACAGACACGGACACAGGCAUGGGCACGGACACAGACAUGGACACGGACAUAGACAUGGGCACUGCUGCCCUGCACUGCUGCCCUGCUGCUGCUCCCCACAGCGAUCCCUGCACAUCCCUCAGGGCACAGCUCCAGCUUGCCAGAGCGGGUGUAGAACCUGGGGCUGGUUUUCACAAAAUCUGUAUAAUAUAUAUAAAAAAUAUAACACAAUAUAUAUUACAUAUGUAAGACCUAUUUUGUAGAGUUAUUUAUUGCUCUCCUGCUGCAGGAAUUUGUUCC